GACGAACGCUGGCGGCGUGCCUAACACAUGCAAGUCGAGCGAGUGAAUCUCCUUCGGGAGUGAAGCUAGCGGCGGACGGGUGAGUAACACGUGGGCAACCUGCCUCAUAGAGGGGAAUAGCCUUCCGAAAGGGAGAUUAAUACCGCAUAAGAUUGUAGCUUCGCAUGAAGUAGCAAUUAAAGGAUCAAUCCGCUAUGAGAUGGGCCCGCGGCGCAUUAGCUAGUUGGUGAGGGAAUGGCUCACCAAGGCGACGAUGCGUAGCCGACCUGAGAGGGUGGUCGGCCACAUUAGGACUGAGACACGGCCCAGACUCCUACGGGAGGCAGCAGUGGGGAAUAUUGCACAAUGGGGGAAACCCUGAUGCAGCAACGCCGCGUGAGUGAUGACGGCCUUCGGGUUGUAAAGCUCUGUCUUCAGGGACGAUAAUGACGGUACCUGAGGAGGAAGCCACGGCUAACUACGUGCCAGCAGCCGCCGUAAGAC
rnacentral:rRNA from 1 species